UAUAGCAGUUUGGUUUUAAAUUUGACAGUUCUGUUUUCUCAAGUCAAAAAUCUUAACCUUACUUUUACAAGUGAUUAGGAUUAUUAUUAUUUUAUUUACAUGUAAAUUGAAACAAUAAAUAUUGAGCUGUGCCAUAAUUUCAAACUCAUUAUGUUGCAGUCUUUUCCAGUUGAUAAAAUUGCAAUUCAAAAACUUUUAGAUUUGCACUGUAUGGAUGGCACAGGAAGAGUACAAGAACAUGAAACAUCUUAUUAUGAAUGUAUAUGUAUGUGAUCCUCAAAAAAUUAUUUUACAAAACAAGAUAGAGAAAGAGUUUUAAAAUCCCAAGGAUCCUGCAAAAUGUUUAUUUGGUGUACUAGUCGAAUAAUAGUAUCUAAAACUAUUGAAACUAUUUUAAAACACAUUACAGGCAUGAGGAUGACAUAGAGCACUUACAUAAAUACCAAAAUCAGAUAAAUAUCUCUUCAAAGUUUAUUUUGAGACUUUCUUCAAAAAUUAAACUUCAGACUGUUCAGGAUAGCAUAAUAGCAUAGGAGGCGAAUUAAAAAGAAUUAAUUUACGUUACAAGAAAAGAUAUCACAAACAUUAAACUCUCUUAUGGCAUUGAUUUGAAAGAUGGGUAUAUGUACAAUGAUCAUGCAACCAGUGUUUAUUUUUGGGUUGGAUGCUUACAGACUCAUGUCCAAUAUUAUUUUACAAACAACAUUGCAUACUAAUGGAUAUUCAUUCUGAAUUUAUUAACAUUUAUGAUUUUUGUCUUAUUUUCCUUAAUACUGUGCCAAAAGGAAAUGUUAAUUAAGUUUGGUAAAUCCUUUAUCGCAAUCGAUGGAACUCCUGGGCUCAAUUCCUAUGACUUUGAACUUAUGACAGUAUUAGUAAAAGAUGAAUUUGGGAAUGGAUUUUGUACUGCUUUCUUAUUUUCAAAUAGAAAAGAUAACUACUUUAAUUUACCAAUUUUUUUUAAAUACAUGUCUGUGUUGGUAUUAUAUGUAUAGUCAAAUGUUUUCAUAUCAGGCAUAAGCGACACCUUUUACAAUGCCUCGUCAAAUGUAAUGGGUAUUGCUCCUAAUAGACUGUUAAGUGCCUGGCACAUAGAUAGGGCAUGGUAAGUAAAUCUUAAUAAAAUAUCUGAUUCUGAAAAAAAUCCUAUUAUGUAUACAAGAUGUAUUAAUGAUGGUUUAGAGAGUAUUAAUAGCUUUUUGGGUAGACUUCUAAGUGAUGCAGAUACACACAAUUUUAGUAAGUAUUUCCAGUAGAACUACUGCAAUAACAUCCAACAAUGGGCCUAUUGUUAUAGGAAGGGGUUGUGGAAUUAAUACCAAUAUGACCAUUCAAAAUUUUCAUAAAAUUUUGGAUAAAAGGGUAUCCAUUAGUUGUUAUCAGUUAAGUUUAAAACUUGGCACUCAUGGAGAGCUAUACCAUAAUAUAUAAUAGGUAUAUCUCAUAAUAUUACAUCUCAUAUUGUUCACUACAGUCGUAAUGAGUGAGCAAUAUGAGAUAUAACAUAUUAUAGUAUAAGUCUCUGUGCAUGACCAGAUUAACAUGUUUGGUGCCCAUCUCGAACAAGCUCCACUUGGCUGGUACCACAUACUUAAAUCAUUUAUUUAGUUACACAGUACUACUCACAUAACUUAUGUGUCGUCAGUACCUUCCGUAAAACCUUCGUGAUGCUACCCAUACACGUCAUGGCCACUGAAUGUGUUAAAGCUUGUUAAUGUAUUAGAGUUAUACUAAAAUAUAUAUCUUAUAUUAUAUUGCCUUAAAUAGAAAAAAUAUCUUAUUUAAAUUGUAUCCAUGUAAGUUUUGAUUUAAUGAAAUAAACCUUUUAAUCAAAAAAGUGUUGUUUACUUGUGUACACCCAGCAAUAUCCUGAUCAUAGAUAAAUAAUAUAGUAUUACCGGA